rnacentral:misc_RNA from 1 species
CGCUACUACCGAUUGAAUGGCUCGGUGAGGCCUUCGGACUGGCCCAGGGAGGUCGGCAACGACCACCCAGGGCCGGAAAGUUGGUCAAACCCGGUCAUUUAGAGGAAGUAAAAGUCGUAACAAGGUCUCCGUAGGUGAACCUGCGGAGGGAUCAUUACAAGAACGCCCGGGCUUCGGCCUGGUUAUUCAUAACCCUUUGUUGUCCGACUCUGUUGCCUCCGGGGCGACCCUGCCUUCGGGCGGGGGCUCCGGGUGGACACUUCAAACUCUUGCGUAACUUUGCAGUCUGAGUAAACUUAAUUAAUAAAUUAAAACUUUUAACAACGGAUCUCUUGGUUCUGGCAUCGAUGAAGAACGCAGCGAAAUGCGAUAAGUAAUGUGAAUUGCAGAAUUCAGUGAAUCAUCGAAUCUUUGAACGCACAUUGCGCCACCCUGGUAUUCCNGGGGGGCAUGCCUGUUCGAGCGUCAUUUCACCACUCAAGCCUCGCUUGGUAUUGGGCAACGCGGUCCGCCGCGUGCCUCAAAUCGUCCGGCUGGGUCUUCUGUCCCCUAAGCGUUGUGGAAACUAUUCGCUAAAGGGUGUUCGGGAGGCUACGCCGUAAAACAACCCCAUUUCUAAGGUUGACCUCGGAUCAGGUAGGGAU